AAAACUUAAGAAAGAAUUAACUUAUUCUAUUAAUUU
rnacentral:tRNA from 1 species